GCAUAUCAAUAAGCGGAGGAAAAGAAACUAACAAGGAUUCCCCUAGUAGCGGCGAGCGAAGCGGGAAGAGCUCAAAUUUAUAAUCUGGCACCUUCGGUGUCCGAGUUGUAAUCUCUAGAAAUGUUUUCCGCGUUGGACCGCACACAAGUCUGUUGGAAUACAGCGGCAUAGUGGUGAGACCCCCGUAUAUGGUGCGGACGCCCAGCGCUUUGUGAUACAUUUUCGAAGAGUCGAGUUGUUUGGGAAUGCAGCUCAAAUUGGGUGGUAAAUUCCAUCUAAAGCUAAAUAUUGGCGAGAGACCGAUAGCGAACAAGUACCGUGAGGGAAAGAUGAAAAGCACUUUGGAAAGAGAGUUAACAGUACGUGAAAUUGUUGGAAGGGAAACGCUUGAAGUCAGACUUGCUUGCCGAGCAAUCGGUUUGCAGGCCAGCAUCAGUUUUCCGGGAUGGAUAAUGGUAGAGAGAAGGUAGCAGUUUCGGCUGUGUUAUAGCUCUCUGCUGGAUACAUCUUGGGGGACUGAGGAACGCAGUGUGCCUUUGGCGGGGGUUUCGACCUCUUCACACUUAGGAUGCUGGUGGAAUGGCUUUAAACGACCCGUCUUUGAAACACGGACC
rnacentral:rRNA from 1 species